UACGUAGGGGCUAGCGUUAUCCGGAAUUACUGGGCGUAAAGGGUGCGUAGGUGGUUUCUUAAGUCAGAGGUGAAAGGCUACGGCUCAACCGUAGUAAGCCUUUGAAACUGGGAAACUUGAGUGCAGGAGAGGAGAGUGGAAUUCCUAGUGUAGCGGUGAAAUGCGUAGAUAUUAGGAGGAACACCGGUGGCGAAGGCGGCUUACUGGACUGUAACUGACGCUGAGUCACGAAAGCGUGGGUAGCAAACAGGAUUAGAUACCCUGGUAGUCCCUGAGCGGGCU
rnacentral:rRNA from 1 species